rnacentral:ribozyme from 13 species
UCUUCUUCUUCGUUUUCUUCUCCGUUUUCUUCGCUUUGUGAAGAUAAUGUGGAUGAAGAAAUAAUCGAUCCUGAUGGUGUGAGUGGUUGUGUUGUAGGGAUAGGCGAUAAAGGAUGAUGAGGUAUAGGAUAAGUUUUU